AAACAUCUGCUAUCUGGGUGAAGGAGAAGCUGGGGAGGCGUCGUACACAGAUCACACAGGAUCUGACCACAUAUCUGAGAUGUGACCACUCCUUUCGCUGGCUUUGAGAAUUGACGUCUUUUAGGCUUUGUAUGAAAAUGUAUGCAAUGUUAGGAGAUCUUCUUCCACCAAUGAACAGCCAUGAUCUAUAGGCCAGCUCCAUGGUGGCAUGGAGAUCACCCUAGCAGCAGCUGGAUUUGUAGGUGGCCAUUAAACCCCAAAUGAAGCAAGCUAUGCAGUUUUCCCAAAUCACUAACAAGAUCAGAGAAGCCCACAGAAAACUGAUGAUUCUAAAUCACCCUGACAGAGGGUUGAGGAACUAGUAAAACUCUUUCCAAACAAUGAUGUACUUUUAUUUAGUCAUUCAGCUUGUAAAAUGUAAUUUGGAUCACAAUUGCAUGUUUUUCUUUUCUAUUUGCAGGUGGAUCACCAAAUCUUGCAGCUAAAAUGAAUCGAAACAUUUACUUGGACAACUAAAUCAAUAGUUCACUUUGUACUUGGUUGGGCCCGUUUUUUUCUCUUAUUCACCGUGCACAAAUAAAUCAUACAUUAAAAGAGA